GUGUAUCAUAUCCCAUAAGAUUUGCAUUGAUGUAAAAGCUUUCUAAUGUAAAUGUUCUGCAUUUUUCUCUAUUCAAAUGUUCUAAUGUUACUCAUGUCUUGUUAACAUGUUUUCCACAUUAAAUAUUUAAAUACCUGAUAUUUUAUGUAAUGUGUGGUAUUAUACCAAGCACAUAUAUCCCUGUGACAGCAUAUCAAGUCAGUCUAGAGAUUUAUGUUGCUCCAUAAAGACAUUCAAUCUUUAAAGUUUUGAUUUAGUUUUGCCUAUACAUUAAGAACAUCUUUGAGGUUUUGUUUCCAUCAGCAGGUCCUGAGGUUCUUGAUAAUUACUGGAAACUACAAUAUACUGGAAAUAUCAAUAUGAUGAUGAACUCCACUGGGAACGUCUCUUCACCUAAAGAUCAUCUUUCUACCAACCUCACAACACAUGAGGUUUCAUCGCUGGAUGGUUUUCGGAUUGUUGUACUGUGCUUUAAUAUAUUGUUUGGUGUUCCUACAUACUCCUAUGUCAUGUGGCUUAUUAUCAGGGGGAAAAAUGGAGUUGCGUCAGAGUUCUUCAACUUCAAUCUCAAUGUUUGUGAGAUCGUUUUCUCUCUGUCUGCUUUGACCUUUCUACUGUCAAAGAUGUUUCCAAGUUUUGUGCCAGUGCAGAACUUUUCACUCGGGCUUGUCAUCACCGUUCGUCCUCUGUUUCAGUGUCUGAUCUGUGUUGAGCGUUACCUAGCAGUGGUUCAUCCUGUAACCUUUCUGAAAUACAAACCUCUCAGAUAUAGAGUGAUCUGUUCUGUUUUUGUGUGGCCAGUGGGCCUUGGCUCCAGUUUGUUCUGCAUGAUCAGCUUUCUCACACACGAUAUUUAUGCAUUUACAUGGUUCUUCCUACUUCAGUUUCUAGUCUUUCUUUCCAUCCAGUUGUUCUGCUGUGUGGCUGUUCUCAGAGCUCUGAAGAAGUCAGGACCAGGAGAAAAAGGGAGAGAGAGAGAGGAGGAAAACUACACGAAGAGAAGAGCAUUUUAUCUUAUACUAAUAACUUCUGUGACAAUGGUAAUCAUUUACGCCCCUUUUAUUAUCACAGGAAUCCUCUAUAUGCUAACGCAACAAGAAGUUUCAGUUGCCUAUCCAAUUAGUUUCAUUUGCUUUAUUUUGGGUGGUUUUGUGCAGCCUGUUCUGUAUCUUCAUCGUGCUGGGAAACUUUCUUGUUUCUGUUCUACUUAAAAUCUGCUACUAACUACUGAAUACUAGCACCGAUUGCUUGCUUUUAUUUUUUGUAUAAUAGAUAAAUAAAUAAAUAAAUAUAUAUAAAAAAAAUCCAUCUGAAAACAUUACUUUCAAUGAAACUUGGGC
ensembl:lncRNA